rnacentral:rRNA from 1 species
CGGACGUGAGGAACCUGCCUUCCAGAGGGGGACAACAGUUGGAAACGACUGCUAAUACCGCAUGACGCAUCGAAGUCGCAUGGCUUUGAUGCCAAAGAUUUUAUCGCUGGAAGAUGGCCUCGCGUCUGAUUAGCUAGUUGGUGAGGUAACGGCCCACCAAGGCGACGAUCAGUAGCCGGACUGAGAGGUUGGCCGGCCACAUUGGGACUGAGAUACGGCCCAGACUCCUACGGGAGGCAGCAG